CUCGUAGGCGGUUCGUCGCGUCCGGUGUGAAAGUCCAUCGCUUAACGGUGGAUCCGCGCCGGGUACAGGCGGGCUUGAGUGCGGUAGGGGAGACUGGAAUUCCCGGUGUAACGGUGGAAUGUGUAGAUAUCGGGAAGAACACCAAUGGCGAAGGCAGGUCUCUGGGCCGUCACUGACGCUGAGGAGCGAAAGCGUGGGGAGCGAACA
rnacentral:rRNA from 1 species